rnacentral:lncRNA from 1 species
AAAAAAAACUGUUUAUCUCAAAAAGAAAAGAAUAAAAAUGCUCAAACUUCCUUACAACUCCAGUUGUUGGUUCCUUAAUACUUGUCCCUCACAACCAACCAAACUUUCUUUGAUAACCGUCGUGUUUGGGCCAGCUUGCACCUUGACUAGUUACACCAGGUACUGCUACCUCCCACCAGCACAGAUACUGGGUAACUCUGUCGAUCAAGGCUUGGACAGAUGGUAAGAAAUCACCUAGUGUUUUUAUCUCUGUUGGAAAUUAAACCUGAGACCUCAUGGUUCUCAAUCUACUUCAUUAACCAUUAGGUCACACUCUUGGGUGCAAGUGUGCAACUAGCAAAAUUAUUAUUCUAUAAACUAGAAUGAGAAGUGUGGACCACAAUAUUAUAUCAAGUUUCCUCUCUCCAUAUCGCCAUAGAGUUACAAUAACAUUACAUCAAUCAGGAAGUAAAUAAAAUUAUUUAAAAUAGACCAAAUAUAAUCCUUCCGUGUAUGCUUAAACACAUUUUUUCAGAACAAUAGUGUUAAAUAUAAAAUAUUUUAGAACUAUAUUGGAAAUAAAAGGUCAAUGUAAAUCCCAAAUGAAGCCUACAUAGUAUAGUAAGAUCAAGGAAAUCUGCUCGCUAAACAAACAUUCAACAGAAAUCACAUAUACUUAGGAAAGAAAAAGUGGUUCUACGAAGCUUCAUAGAAAAAGAAUUGUGUACUUCUUUUUUCAUUGAUAAGCACAGGAAACUGGAUAAAACUACCCAUAAAAAUCUCGAUGAAACGAGACCUCACCUCCAUUUCUGUCAUCAGCUCUCAAGGUUUCUCCCAGGUAGAGAUUCUUGUUCUUCUAUUAUAAUAGUAUCUAAAAAUCAAUUAAAGAAUUGUAAGAAUGUUAUUAAUUGGUUGGAGUAAUAAAGCCAUAGGAAAUAUGACAACAUUAGCAACCAUAAUUGGCUUACUGUUCAUCAAAAGAUGCUGAAAGUAGCAAUACCUACUAGCAUUUAGCCACAUGUAAAAUAUGUAUGAUGAUAGAUAAAUAGGGUCAAAAUGAAGUUAUCGGUAGAGGUGUAUCAAGUUCUGCCGAUGAACAGUCAGGUAAAAUUUGGUAGCGGUGAACGGCAGCCCAUAUGAUUACUUUGACAAAGAGGACUGAAACAAAGGGGCCUUUUAUCUCCAGUGCUAAUGGAAGCAGAAUGAUGUACAAAGCACUAGAUGUGGAUACUUGAGGGAUUUCUUGGCAGUGAUGGGGGCCAACAUAUCCACCACUUGUUCAUAGACAAGACAUUAAGUGUUUCUGAUGCAGACAUUAAACUAUUCAUAUAAGUAACCUAUGUGAAUAUAAUCCAAAAGAAAGAAUUACGGAAAGCCAAAUCGGCAUGCUCUUUUUUCUGUCUGGAGAACACAAAGUGGUAAAAAGAUUGGAUCUGAAUGAAAAUGAUAUUUUUACAGAGCUUCUUUUCUUGUGUACCGCGGUUUUACACCUUUUUUGUUCACUGGAAUCUUAAUUUUCUUACUAAAAACUAUCAUAGAAUUCAAAUGUUGACUCUCUCAGUCAACACACACCCAUUAACUUAAGCAUGUUACUUGUUGACAAUAUUUAUGCAAAACGGGUACAAUAAAACACAUUGAAUUCUCACCAGAACAACCAAGGGAGCUGCUAAUUCUCCAGUCUUCUGCACAAUUGUCUCAGAAUUCACAUUAUGAUUACUUAUUGGCAUCCAGGGUUGUACCCCUGAUGGAAACCUAUGAUCAUUUAUCUGUGUCUGAUACUGGAAGCUAGAAGAAUCUGCAUUUACCUGCUGUUAAAGACGAUAACAAAAUGUAUUUCAUCAAUAUAUGAAUGGAACAUCGGAAACCAAUUGACAAUAACCACAAAAGAUCUUCCCAAGGCCUUACAUUAUAUGAAGAAGAAAGAGGUAAAUUUGGGUCACCAGAACCAGGCAUGUGGUUAUUUAACAUCGGAAGAUUUCCCUGAAAAUCAUGGGGAGUAGGUGGUCCCUGAGGCAUACUAUGCAUUCCUACUACAGGUCUACCAGUAACCUGUUGCAUAGGUUGAGGAAAUUGGAUUUGAGAAGGUUGAGACAUCGCAACAUUUGCAUGUCCAAGUGGAAAAAAUUGUUGAGAUGACUCGGAACCAUAAGGUUGUGCCUGCUGGGAUGGAAGCAUAGGCUGGAAUUGCUAAAGAUGUGGGGAAAAUAGUUAUCAUAAUGUCUCUGCAUUCAAAAGUCAUUUAUUCCUCCCCCAAGCCUCCACAACUUUACCUGCAGUGACAUGGAUGGAAUUGCACCAGGAGCAGGACCAGCCAGAGGAGGUAUAAGAGGCUUCUCAACCAAUAUCCAUGCAAGGAAGAACAGAUGAAAUCAGAAUAUAGCUACUUUUCAAUCAUAUUUAGAAAGCUUGAAUCCAUGCGCAACUCCCUAAAUUAAUUUGAAGGACAAGGCAGAAUUUUGAAGCCAAACCACAUAGUAACAUGAAACCCUUUUCUUCAUCUAAUAAAUAGAAAGCUUGAAAUGAGAAUAAAGAGAGAUAACAAAUAGAUGACCUAUCACAGCGUUAGACGAGAAUGGACAAAAUGAUAAGCAUCUUUACCUUAUGGCUUGGGUUCAACAGCUACUGAUGGCCUAAGUAUCUUUUCUUCGGGUGUAAAGAAGCACGUCUGUUAAUGCAAAGCUAUGAUCAUGGAACUGAAACGUGAGGUAUGAGUAGGUAUUAGGAUAACCGAAAAAUACUUAGACCGGAAUAGGUUGAGCCUCACUCUUCCCUUCUAAUGUUCUAUGUCAUACUGACAUCACUACUAGAAUCUGAAAGACUGACUUGGUUAUUCUCUCUGUCAUCUCCCCCUUAGCUUCAAGCCAUCAAAUUAAGUUUGGGAGAUCCCUUACUAGACUCUAAACUAAAGUACACUCACUGCACUCUGGGUCUGGAAAACUAUUAUACACACAUAUCAUGGAACUUAACCUGAAUGAAUACACCUGAAAGUGGAAAACCCACUGUUAAUACUACCUUCUGAGAUACACUUUAUCAUUCUAUAGACCCAGUAGUCAUCAUAUAAUACUUGCAUACUUACUAACUUCAGGUCUUCAUGGGUAUCCCCAUAGUCAGAGUGCACAGCCUCUAGUGCUUUAACUCUUAUUUCUAUUAGUUCAACCUUUAAAAACUCAAACUUAGAAUCUAGCACUCAACAUGGAUAUCACCAAGCCUUUAAUGAAUCAUACCACUUCCGACACAGACUACCAAUAUCGCGACUCCAAACUUGCAUCUCUCUACUAUGAGAAUCAAGAUCAUAUAAAAAGGCUUAACACUAUCAAUCAAAUCUCCUUAACUUGGAUAUUUAGAAAACCAUAUACCAUCUAACUAGUCUUUCUCCACCUAGCAACUCAACGGUACCACUCGUCACACAAAACGUGUAAUAGUCUUAGAAAAUACCGCAACCCCUUACGCAUGAUUCUCACUUGGAUACCAUGAAAUAGACAUCAAGAAACACUAGUACACUAGAACUUCCAAACAACAAAUAAUUGAUCUUGACCUUACGGUCUUCCUUAUCAUAACUCAUUAGCACGUACUAUUUUAACACAUCAAGCCUACUAAUUUUUUCCCACAAAAUAUACAUCAUUACUCUCAUGCCACUAUUUUUAUCACCACAUUCUACAUUAAAUUUAAGCAUAUAGUCCUGUACCAAUCAUCUAUCACUAUUGAAAAAUGCAACAUAAUAUGCUAGUCCAUAAAAUUUGGGACAUACUAUACAAGCGCCUCAAAAAUCACUACUUACCUUCUCACAAGUAAUACUAGUUUACAAUUACCGACGAAAAGAAGGUCAAGGGGUAAAGUUGCAUAAUAGACAUGAUCAACCUUAAUCUUAUAUUAUAACCCCAUACAAUCUUUUCUACUUAUACGGAUUUCUCACCUCAUACUUACUUACCCAAACAUACAUUUAGACUACCUUCAAAUUCCACAAACAACCAUGAGUCUAUACUUACAACUUACUGGCUAAUAUAGCCAUUUUCACACUUUAAGCAAUCGAGAAAUCACCCUAACUAACAACUCCUUCUCUACCUUCUACUAAACUAACACACAAGGACAAAUCACCUCUUUCAAUCUCAUGCAAACUGAUUCAGCUAUAUAUAUAUAUAUAUAUAUAUAUAUUAAACUAACACAAGAACAACAAGUUGGACAACAAGUUGCUAGUGAAUCGAAAUAGGCCUCACACGGCUUCACUAGACUUUACUUUUGUAUUUUUAACAAGAAAAUGAGAUGAAUGACAAGUCAACUAUGCUAGUGAAUCGAAAGAUCCCCACAGGGCAAGAUUAAUACGCAAUAUCCAAUGAACUAAGAAUACACAUCUUACUCUGUAUAAAUAAAAUAGAGUCAAACACUUCCUCCACGGACUACCAUACCAUCCACACAUGCUACUAGUUACCAUAUUAGUCUAUCACCAUAAGGGGGUAAAUCAUUCUCGAACAUCGGUUAUUCAACUAAAAUAUUCAUUUACACAAAAGUCACCCUCGCUCUGACUUCUAACUUUGUGACUUCACAUCACCAACUUCUUGGCCAAAUUUCACUACCAAUAGGUCCUGAUAACAACACUUUAACGCAUACUACUAUUCAGGUGGAAAUAUAGUUCCAACAUUCUACUACACAUCAUCCCCCCUUAAUCAAGACAUUUGUAAUAUAAAUUUGAAGGGGACUAAAUGCAAUUAAUACCUCAAGCCGAAAAGCACGAUUCCACCAGGAUCAAUGUUUACAUCGGAAUCAAUACACAUUAAAGUACUAACGAACUCUUCUCAAGUCCUUGCACAGAUUUUAACUCUUAUAUGGUUCAAUUAGAAAGGAACAUACCAUUUAGAUUCUAAACUUCUGCACUUGAAUCACCUCAAUAAUGAGACAUAUCUGAGGACAUUAGAGUAAGGAAAGAAUUUGGGAUGACUUUUUUUUUACUUUCGUAUGGGCGACACCAUAGCACGAAUUAGAGUAUGAAAGAGGAACAUUCUGACUCUAUUGCAUGAAGUAGAACAUGAAGAAAGAGAGACAUUCCUAAACGCCUAGUAUCCUCCUACUUAUGAGUAUGGCGUGCUACACACCCAUAAAUAAGACUCUACCCGAUGCAAUUUCACAGACACCCUAGGCCCAUGAACUGUGCUUUGAUACCAAGUUUGUCAUGACCUGAACUGGGGCUCUGACCGUGACGAGCAUUCCGAACCAUGAAGGCCCGAAACACCCCUAUCUAUCUGGCAAUCAUGCACAUAAUUCAUAUGAUAAUAAGAUAUGUAGAAGAUACACAAUAUUAUGAAAAACAUGGUCAUAAAUCAAAUGAAAUCAACAAAGGGGAAAUGAUGUCCCACAACAUAUAUCGACAUCUGAACAAUCGUCUAUGAAAUCUCUAAAACAUGACUGAAAUAAAUUACUGUCUGAAAACUGGGACAAGGCCCCCAGUAGACCCAAAACUACUAAAUGAUAAAUGAAUUGACAGACAUCAGGCCUUCCAAAAUAUAGAAGUCUCACCACUUGAUUCUGCAAAUCUGUCGGAAGAGAUCUACUGGUUAUUUGGACCCCUAAACUAUGCCUCCAAACCUGGGAGGGAAAGUGUUCAAUACAAAAGUACUAGUACGCAGAGAAACCAAAAACAAAAUAUAAUGUUUUUUCCAAAUAUAGGUGAGAGCUAUUAUAAAGCAGUUCCAUAUCAAAUCAUUUGAAAACACAUGGGCAUAAGUUAGGGUGUGCGUCGCACACCUUAUGGCAUAAGUUAGGGUGUGCGUCGCACACCUUAUGCUGUACGACAUACUCCACUUUGUAAAGCCAUAACUUCUUCCUCGGGUGUCGGAAUUUCGCAAAAUUGGUAUCGUUGGAAAGAUAAUUUGAAUACCUUUCAUUUGAUAUAUAGUAGGCACUGUAAUUCAAUAUAUACAAAGAUUAAUGGUCGAUUGAAGUUAACCUAAGUUUCAACGUUCACUAAAAUUCGAACGAUAGGAAAACUUUCAACUUGUCCUUGAGCUUGGGGACCUUUAUGAUCUCAAUUCAUGCUAAAAUAGGUUUCUACACUACAUAAUUUAUUAACACACUAAACUUGCAUUGGAUUUAUGGCUUUUGGAACCUUUACGUGAAGAAAAUGACGAUUUUCGUUCUCGUCCGAAAUGCGGGGUGUUACAAAAUUUUGUUAGAAAAUGGAAAAUACAACAAUAUGGAGGACAUUUUAGCUGCACCGUACUCCCAAUAUACACCGUCCUCCUAAUACACUAAACUGAACAUUAAAAGUACUAAUGCAUUUCUUACCUGCACCGUACUCCAAAUACACUAAACUGAACAUUAAAAGUACUAAUGCAUUUCUUACCUGUUGGUGUGUAGCAUUCAAAAGUUUUAUUGUCUUUUGUCGGAAGAUAGCCACAACGACGGUUUCAAGAAUGAAGAUUAAACUUAAAAGAUGCCAUGCUCGCUCUGGAGUUCCUGCUACAUGAUACAACAUGACUCUACAAUGUUGAAGCCACUUUCCUAAUCCUUGGAGUCUAAGUUCUUACGAGAAUGAAAUAUGAUUAGGUAACACAUCCUCAACAUUAUUUGAAUUAGUGACAGGAGGGUUACUGUCGCGAUGUUCUCGAUCAGCGUCCAAACUACUUCUCUGCAACAAGGCUAGAAUCUUUGGGUCUAAUCCAUUCUCCUUCAGCAUCACUGCAAAAUUAGGAUCAAGCCCUUUAUCUUGCAAUAAAUUAGCUAAUUCACGAUCAGUGUGUCUUCCUUUCUGCUUUAAUAUAGAUGUAAUCCUGGGAUCACUCAACUUUUCUUGAAAUGCUAGUGCCAAAUUCAAGUCGAGUAUCUGUUGGUUUGCAGAAGUGGAUUUACUAGAAUCACCACCUUGGCUUUCAAGUCCACUGCUAGAACAAACAACCAAUGAAAUAUUAUGCUCUAAAUUUCUAUCAACAUAUGAGGAUCCUACUUCAGGCUCUUGAACAACUGAACGACAGGAACUACUACGUAGAGCUAGACUUGGUCUUCCACUGUCUAUGCUCUUAUCACUAUUAAUCCCCUCAAUGUUAUUCCAGGUACUGCCAUCACCAGUGCAAGGCAUAGUUGCAUUACCAAGAUGACCAGCAUCAGCACUUCUAAUGCGUUUGACACUUGAGCCACACCCCUCAGAAGAGCUUACGGAGCUAUUUUGGUCUUUUCUGCGGAAACCUUCUCUACGGCGGAUAACUAUACUCUGCAAGGCAUCUUGUUAGCUGCUAAUGGGUCUGUAACUGAUAAAUGCUGUGAAACAGCAGCACCCAACAGCACAGAUGCUACAACUACAUAACUGAUACAACAAAAUUGUUGCAAUAAAAGAUUAGAAUAUUUUUUUUUGAUAACAAAAGAUUAGAAGUUUCUAUUCAACAAAUAAUAUUAAAAGGGAUGCAUAUGCCACAAGUAUAAGAAGAUUUGAUUAUGGAAGAAAAUGAAUUAGCAUAGGUUAACAACAAACCAGUAAUGAACUCCAAAACAGACCAGGAACACCCGAGAUGUUCCGACAACAAUAAGUAUGAUGACUCAGCUUUUCAAAAGCUUAAAACCAUACAAGAAAGCUUCCAAGUUCCAAUCUAAUUGAAUGAAAAGAUAGUGAAUUCAUUACUUACCACAAAGAAAUAAGAAAUUAUUUCACAAUACGAGUCAGAAAAGGAGACAGAUAUAUGUAGGAAAUUAACUACCAAGGAUUAUCAUGGCAGCUGAUGUUGUAGCCCCAAGCCAGUUUGAUUCCUUUGUUGUCAGACCAUACAGGAUCGAAUACACAAGAAGUACUACAAGUGAACCAAUAUAUAGAAGUCCAAGAUUGAGAGCCCUGCAGAGCCCAAGUUCAAAGUGAAGAAGAGUAAAUUAUAGACUUCAGAGAAAAUGUUGAAAAGAUAGUGCAGAAAAUAUGAUGAGCAGUAUAAAUGAGAACCCACUGAACACAUAAUAUAACAAGGUGACUUUAUAAUCUAAAGCAGAAUUUAAAUUAAUUUGCUUAGCAGUGAGAUUUUAAGAUCUACUGUUUUUACUGGACUACUGGAGAGUGUGUUUUGUUCUCUCAGAGUUAGUAUUCCUUUUAUUCAAAUAGAUUUGAGUUACACCCAUUGUUUAGCGUUCUUUGGCUCUUAAUUUUAAAAGUCUGUUAGUUGAGAACAUUUUGGCCUAUCUUCAUAUCUUCCAUAUCUUAUAAAAAAAAUUAUGUUCCAUCCAGAAAAAGAGUUGUCAUAUUAGUCAUCCCUGUCCUUUAUAUAGAGCUCUUCCCAUCUUUGUUCAAAUCCCUAGCCAACAAGAAUGAUGUCCCCUUCAAAAAGUAUUACAUCUUACUCUGUCUUUCUAUUGCCUAUAAACAGUCUAGCACAUCAAUGAUGUCUUCUGCUAGAGCUAAUCAUCAUGUUUACACCAAAAAUAAAGAAGUGCUAAACUAUUCAAGUUGAUCUUCUGGACAUCCUCAAAACAACCCUUGUUUCUUUCUGUCCAAACUGUCCACCAUAUACAUGUUGAACAAUUUUCCAUCUCUCCUCCUUUAUUACAUUUACAUCCCCAUUCAUGCUGCUUAGUACUUUUUUAAUGCCACUAGGUUCUACCCACCUGAUCCCCUUCAGGUUGAAAACAUUCUCUACAGUUGCUCUGUCCGUUUCCAAUGUAAGAAAGAUGGUUGAUUAUGUAAAGAAAGGAUCUUGGGCCUAACUCAACCCUAAAAGCUAGCACAUGAGGGGAGGAUUGCUCAAGUCCAUAUAAUAAGACCGACAGUUAACUCCCCAACAAUGUAGGACUUUCACCUACUCUAACACCACCUUCACGCCCAGGCCCAAUAAGAGCGUGGUACGAGAGCUCAAACGUGGAUGGACCUGUUGUUUGAGAAGGAAUAUUAACUGCUGUUUGUAUGCAAGAGAGAAUAGAUAAGAUGUUUUUACUGAAUACAUUGGGUCUAUCAGCACAUACAGGUUCAUGCAUUAUGCCAUUAGGUUUUGCAGCAGUUCCAAUAUUUUCAGCAGCACCACAAGUUGAAUUUUGAUGCACUGCAGUAAGGAAAGAAAACUUAAACAUUAACUUGAGACAACAACACAAGCUUCUCAAAUGCAGGUUCUAGCAAGAACAAAGAUAACAAGCAAAUAGAAGGCAAUGAAGAUAAGGAUAAGUCUAGAUGAGCUUGGGGACAGGCUCCAAACUGAACACAGUGCUCGUUAUUCUUGUUGUAGAUAAGAUCAGACAACUUAUUAUUUUGACGUUAAGAGUUUCUUGUAGAGGAUGCUGAAUCCAUUUUGCAACUUUGGAGGCCUUGUAAAGCACAGAGAGGCUCAUUUUUGUAAAGAAAAUACUGCCCACAUAGUAUCUAUGCUAUCAUUUUUAAAAAAAUAUGGUGCUUGCUGGUUUUACCAAUAUCUUGUAUGCUUGUACCUUCCAAUGCAACCUCCCGGCGAAAAAACUAACCACCAAUAGGCAUCUUUUAGCAUAGAAGAUUCUAAGACUGUCUUACUAGGAAUUAGGUAAGUACAAGUUCUUGAAGGGAAAUUGUUUGCAUCAUUGAAGAUCAGAAAGCCAGGUAUAUAGGAGAUUAGACAUUUUAAAGAAAAAAUAACAGGUUUAAUAUCAGGAAAGACAUCAAAAACUCUUAUUUACAUAUAAAUGAUGGAUCCCAAAUAACUUCAGAAGUUACACACAAAAGGAAAAUGGUACAGAAACCAAUUCCACCUUCAUAAUAACUAUGUCUGCUUGAUGUAAGCAUAAACAUUAUCAAGAAAGACAUCAAAGACUCUCAUUGACAUAUAAAUAAUGGAACACAAAUAACUUCAGAAGUUACACGCAAAAGGAAAAUGGUACAGAAACCAAUUCCACCUUCAUAAUAAUUGUGUCUGCUUGAUAUAAGUAUAAACAUAAAGAACAUACUGACAUACCAAAAAAUUAUCAAAAUGUUCUACAAUGUAGUGCUAAUUUUUUUUGUUUUUUGAAAUUAAACGCAGUGUAUAGUUUAAAAAUGUGCAAACAACAUUUAAUGUGGCACGUGAAGCAUCAGGUACUGGAAGGAAAAUUUAAAACAUGGUGGAGGCAAAUGAAUCAAAUAUACUAAGACAAAGAAGGCAUUUGAUUGCAGAUCAAAUGGAAGAGUCUGCCAACCGACCAGAUUUAGGAGCAGCUCUGGUCCAUGCACCAUUUUGAGGUAAAUUUAUAUGGUUAAAAAUUUGGAUGUUACUUAAUAUAUGCACAAACUGAACAUGAACUGCCCGGUUAGACAAGUGCUUUUUGUAGCUACCCAGUGACAACCUUAGUGAAAGAAUACAUCAAUGAGAAGUUAACUCAGUAAGCUUAAUGAGCUUUCCCCUGUAAGGAAUGAAAGUGUGGAUGACCCGACAUCAAAUAUACGAUUGUUAUUAUACACACAAUCUCUAUACAAUAGCAACAACAUACCCGAUGUAUAUUCGGGCAGAAUAUAUGGAAACCAUACCUCUACCUCAAAGACGAGAAGAAAACGGUAGCACCAAUCCUCACUAAAUACUUCAUAAGAUAAAAAAACAGCCAAUACUUACAAAACCAAAUGAAGCAAAAGAAGUUCAUUUUCUUGAUCACCAGCAAGUAAAAGAAAUGUUUACAAUUGGAGAUUUAAAAAGGUUGCAAAAGAAAGAAGCAAACUUUCUAUUUAACAAGUGUCAAAGUGGGGAAAGAAUAAGAGUAAAACCAAUAAGUAUACGAGAAGUCUGAACACUAUAGUCAAUGAACAAAAUAUGAAUUGUAGUUUGGAAAUUUAGUAUCCAUCACUCCAACAGAGAAUCAGGACUUGCAAGAAGGUUGAAAGGUUUGCCUAUCGAGUUUUUCAAGAUUGUGAUUUGACCCUUUUUCAUAAGAAAGUCUUCAUCGAGGGUGUCUACCUUUCUUUUCAACAUGUUGAUCUCAUAAUUCAACAACAUGUUCAUCUCACUGUAGCUCUUAACUUCCUCCCACAUGAAAUCCCUCUCCUGAAAUACUUUUGGUAGUAUCGCCUUUACAACGCAAAGUUCCUUCAUGCAUUCUUGCAAAUCAUUGGUGAGCUAGUUGAUAUUUUCAUCCCUUUUUAGCACCUGUGAGAAUCAACCGUAAACCAUGAAAAACAAAAAAGACACAAAGAUCACCAAUAACAUUUCAUCAGAAAUUCAAAACAAACUCAUAGCCUAGAAGUUCAACCAAAUCAUGAAUCCUUUUUAACUAUUAAAAUUCAUAGUAGAUAACUCCUGAGCUUGUCCAAGAAUUAAGUAAGAUGAACGAGCAAAGUUACCAAAACCCCUUCGGGUAACUUUACCACAUCAGAGCAUAAUCAGAUCAAUGGAUUUGACGAUAUCACAAAGUUUAUCAUGUUCUUGGUUGGUUCAAGUGAUGACACAUUAAGGCGAUCAGAAAUUUCACAGAAGACUACCACAUGCCAGCAACUCAUGUAUACAAGUUCAUAAAGAAAUCUGUGAACUUUAGAUGGAACAAAGAUGAACCUAAAAUCAAAUAGAAGUAGAAAGCUAAUGCAGAGAGAGUAACAUGCGAACAGGCUAUCAUAUAUGAAGACAGGGUAUCCAAAGUUGAAAAAUAAAAACUAUUCAGUUGCAACGAGAUAUUAACAUUGCCUGCUUACCUGAAGUUUGAGAUAUUUCAACUUGGGUGUGGCAUAAGAAAGAGCAUCCAGUUUAUUUUGCACUUAACAUUGGAGAAUGUCGUUACCUCUAACUGUUAUGGCUAGAUUAGCCUGAAGUUGCUUUAUGUCCAUCUCCUCGGAAUAGAGCUUCUCCCUUAGCACAGUUGUCAGCAAAGUCUCUGAUUUAAGCCCUUUAACCUUUUCCUGGUAGUUUUCUCAGACAUAAUCUCUAUUGUCUUGAGAUACUCGAUAUUCCACUUGUAACUAAGUGAGAUGCUGCCGUAGAUUUUAAUUCUCCUCUGACACUUGCUCUAUUCUCUUAGACAAAUCUUCAAGGUGUUUCUCCGAAAAUGAUAUCUUGAUUCUAUUAUCUACUUCCUUCUCAUUAAAUGAAGAGACUUCCCUUUGUAGAGACACAUUCUGCUCUGCAAGCUCCCUCGCCCUUUCACGGGUCUAUGUUGUUCAAUUUGGUAUUUCUCAAGUUUUAGAGACCAAUUGUUGGAUCUUCUAUCCAACUUCUUUUCCAAUACUGAUUUUAACUCAUUCUUUUCUGUCUCCAAUCUUCGUGUCCGUGAAUCUAGUUCUGCCUGUAAUAUGCUGGCUUCUUGCUUAGCAGAAGCCCUUUCAGCAACUUGAUUCCAUAGCAUGCUUGAAACUUCAGAAGCCAUUUGUACCUUCUCCUUUGUCAAUCUUGUAAUAGUCCGAAUCAAUAAUGGAACGCUAAGGUCUCUGCCAUGAAGAAACAUUUGUUAUUACUUUGGACAAGCAAAUGCAAAUUAAAACAUCAGUUUAAGUGUGAAAAAGGAAGCUAAAGCAAAAUGAUAUGCAUACCGGCUUGAAUCACGACUAGAUUUCUUAGGAUGAACUUUCUUACUGUGACCAUGGGGAGAUUUGCUCAGAUCCAUGAAAUUCUUUUUUCCUAACCCACUGUCAUAGAAGGAUUCGGAUGAUAAUGAAACACUCCUCCAAGAAGAAACUUCCUUGGACUUUAAUGGUGGUGAAGGGGUCUUGUUUUCAUCAUUAGUUGAUGAUCGAAAAAAGAAGAAGUUGUUCUUCAUCAUCUCUAUGUAUGGAGACUGUACAUGAAUCAAACUAGUGUCCAUGAGAUUUCAAAGGGCAAAGCAAAACACUCAUAAAUAGCCACUCACAAAUCAUUAUCCAUUCAUGAAAAUACUGCAAGCUAACUAAAUACUUAUGAGACAAAGCAAAACAUCUCUCUUUCUACAUGCUUCUUCUUCAACAACAACAUACGUAACCCCUACCUUGGCAAGUAGAAAAUUUGUUUCUCAUAAAUCCUCGGCAAGGAAAGCAAAANNNNNNNNNNNNNNNNNNNNNNNNNNNNNNNNNNNNNNNNNNNNNNNNNNNNNNNNNNNNNAUACAACAAGUAGAAAAGAAAAAUAUAUACUAAUACUACUACCAGAAGAGAUAUGACGUGAAACUAUUUACUAAUAGUCUUCUACUGAAAAUUAAUAAAAUACCCCAUAAACAAAUAGCACAAGAACAAUUCAAAGAACUUAUCAAAUCCUUCUGAUAAAACAAAUAAUCAUGGUAAAUAAUCAAAAAAUAAGAGAAAUUACUGAAUCAAAGAGUUGAAAGAGUAAGAGCCGGCAAAAUGUUGUCAUAAUUUGUACGAUUCUUGUCAUUUUUUCUUGAAAUGUAAAAAUAGCAAAAGACUAGAAUUCUGUGUCUUUCAUUCAUCAUCGUACAAUGCAUAUAUACAACUAACAAGGAUCUGUAAAUUUCAAGUAAUAUUUACAAGGAUCUGUAAAAUUCAAGUAAAUAUUUACAAGGAUCUGUAUAUGGCAAGUGAAUAUUUACAAGGAUCCAGAAAUAUGGCAAGUGAAUAUUUAUAUACUCAUAAUGAAAAACUUAAGAAAUACCUAUGAGAGAGAGAAGAAAAGUGUAACAAAUAUUUUGUGUUAUUCAAUAGCUAUAAAUAGCCAUAUGAGAUCAAAUUUUCCAUAUAAUAGAAAUAAAAUUAAAACUAUAAAUUAAAUUUUUCAAAUUAGCACACAAAUUAACUUAAAUUAUGAAAUUUAAGAUAUUUAUUUUUUCAAAAUUUAACUUUUUCAUAUAAACAUCACUGAAUUGAUAUAAACAAUAUUUUGAAAUGUGAUAAAUUAAUUAAAUAACCCAAAAAUAUUGUAAUAUUGUAUUUNNNNNNNNNNNNNNNNNNNNNNNNNNNNNNNNNNNNNNNNNNNNNNNNNNNNNNNNNNNNNNNNNNNNNNNNNNNNNNNNACUUACCAUUUAAAAAUUGUUUCAUUUGAAUUAAUAAGAUCAUAGUAGAUUGUACAAAAUCAGUUAAUAAAUGAUAUAUAUUUCAAUUAAAUAAAUAAAGUACAAUAUAAUUGUAAUAAGAAUACACAAUCAACUAAUUAAUUUCACUUAAUUAGAUUAAAUUUUAUGAUCAUAAUAUAUAGACUAAAGUUCCUUAAAUUUAAUGUUGUAAAUUUCAAAAUAUAUUUAUGGCUNNNNNNNNNNNNNNNNNNNNNNNNNNNNNNNNNNNNNNNNNNNNNNNNNNNNNNNNNNNNNNNNNNNNNNNNNNNNNNNNNNNNNNNNNNNNNNNNNNNNNNNNNNNNNNNNNNNNNNNNNNNNNNNNNNNNNNNNNNNNNNNNNNNNNNNNNNNNNNNNNNNNNNNNNNNNNNNNNNNNNNNNNNNNNNNNNNNNNNNNNNNNNNNNNNNNNNNNNNNNNNNNNNNNNNNNNNNNNNNNNNNNNNNNNNNNNNNNNNNNNNNNNNNNNNNNNNNNNNNNNNNNNNNNNNNNNNNNNNNNNNNNNNNNNNNNNNNNNNNNNNNNNNNNNNNNNNNNNNNNNNNNNNNNNNNNNNNNNNNNNNNNNNNNNNNNNNNNNNNNNNNNNNNNNNNNNNNNNNNNNNNNNNNNNNNNNNNNNNNNNNNNNNNNNNNNNNNNNNNNNNNNNNNNNNNNNNNNNNNNNNNNNNNNNNNNNNNNNNNNNNNNNNNNNNNNNNNNNNNNNNNNNNNNNNNNNNNNNNNNNNNNNNNNNNNNNNNNNNNNNNNNNNNNNNNNNNNNNNNNNNNNNNNNNNNNNNNNNNNNNNNNNNNNNNNNNNNNNNNNNNNNNNNNNNNNNNNNNNNNNNNNNNNNNNNNNNNNNNNNNNNNNNNNNNNNNNNNNNNNNNNNNNNNNNNNNNNNNNNNNNNNNNNNNNNNNNNNNNNNNNNNNNNNNNNNNNNNNNNNNNNNNNNNNNNNNNNNNNNNNNNNNNNNNNNNNNNNNNNNNNNNNNNNNNNNNNNNNNNNNNNNNNNNNNNNNNNNNNNNNNNNNNNNNNNNNNNNNNNNNNNNNNNNNNNNNNNNNNNNNNNNNNNNNNNNNNNNNNNNNNNNNNNNNNNNNNNNNNNNNNNNNNNNNNNNNNNNNNNNNNNNNNNNNNNNNNNNNNNNNNNNNNNNNNNNNNNNNNNNNNNNNNNNNNNNNNNNNNNNNNNNNNNNNNNUAUUUAUUUACCAUAAAUCUGUCCUAAUUUUAUAUCUUGAUUGUAGUUAAUUAAUCUACAAUUACAUAAAGGUCUCAAAUAUGAAAACAAUUGAUAUUAAUUACCUUUAUAAUUUUGGCAAUUCAAUCCCAUGAAUUUCUCAUGUUUUUUAUAGAUUGAUUAUAUUAAAUUUAUUUCAAUUACCUUUUUAAUUUUGGUAAGAAUUUAAAAAAGGUAACGAUUAUUUUUUUUCCUAAUUACUGAUUUAUUUCUCAAAAAGUUCUUAUAAAUUCAUAAUUUGAUUAUAGUCAAUUGAUUAUUUAAUUAUCUUUAUAAUUUGCUAAAAGCUCAAAUAAGGUAACAAUUAUUUUUUUCUAAAUUAUGGAUUUUCUUAUAUUCAAUCUUUUAUUGUUUUACUAUAAUAGUUCAAAUUUAAUUGUUUUGAGGGAUGACAACUUUUUGUGUCUAAAUCUUUUUUAAUACAUAGGAAAUGCUAAAGGCAUACAAUAAUCUCCUUUCUUUUUAUAAUCCAAACUUACCAUUUACAAAUUAUUUCAUUUGAAUUAAUAAGAUCAUAGUAGCUUGUACAAAAUCAAUUAAUUAAUUAUAUGUAUUUUGAUAUAAAAAAAAAUGAUGUACGACAUAAUUGUAAUAAAAUUACACAAUCAACGAAUUAAUUUCAAUUAAUUAGAAUCAAUUUUAUAAUCAUAAUAUAUAGACUCAAGUUCCUUANNNNNNNNNNNNNNNNNNNNNNNNNNNNNNNNNNNNNNNNNNNNNNNNNNNNNNNNNNNNNNNNNNNNNNNNNNNNNNNNNNNNNNNNNNNNNNNNNNNNNNNNNNNNNNNNNNNNNNNNNNNNNNNNNNNNNNNNNNNNNNNNNNNNNNNNNNNNNNNNNNNNNNNNNNNNNNNNNNNNNNNNNNNNNNNNNNNNNNNNNNNNNNNNNNNNNNNNNNNNNNNNNNNNNNNNNNNNNNNNNNNNNNNNNNNNNNNNNNNNNNNNNNNNNNNNNNNNNNNNNNNNNNNNNNNNNNNNNNNNNNNNNNNNNNNNNNNNNNNNNNNNNNNNNNNNNNNNNNNNNNNNNNNNNNNNNNNNNNNNNNNNNNNNNNNNNNNNNNNNNNNNNNNNNNNNNNNNNNNNNNNNNNNNNCAUGAAUUUCACAUAUUCUUAUAGUUUGGUUAUAUCAAAUUUAUAUUAAUUACCUUUAUAAUUUUGGGAAGAAUUUUAAAAAGGUAACAAUUAGUUUUUUUUUCCAAUUACUGAUUUAUUUCUCAAAAAUUUCUUAUCAAUUUACAAUUUGAUCAUUUAAUUAUCUUUACAAUUAGCUAAAAGCUCAAAUAAGGUGACAAUUAUUUCUUUUCUUAGUUACGGAUUUUCUUAUAUUCAAUCUUUCAUUGUUUCACUAAAAUAGUUCAAAUUUAAUUGUUUUGAGGCAUGACAUCUUUUUGUCUAUAAAUCUUUUUUAAUACAUAAGAAAUGCUAAAGUCAUACAAUAAUCACCUUUAUUUUUAUAAUCCAAACUUAUCAUUUAAAAAUCAUUUCAUUUGAAUUAAUAAAAUCAUAGUAUAUUGCACAAAAUCAAUAAAUUAAUUAUAUGUAUUUUUAUUAAAUAAAUUAUAUACGAAAUUGUUGUGAUAAAACUAUACAAUCAAGUAAUUAAUUUCAAUUAAUUAGAAUCAAUUUUAUGAUCAUAAUAUAUAGACUCAAGUUCCUUAAAUUUAAUGUUGUAUGUAAAUUUUAAAAUAUAUUUAUAGCUAAAGUAAUAGUCAACGUUCGUUGUUUUUUUUACCAAUAUAUGCAUAUCAAUUACGAAUCUUUCCAUAUAUUUUAUUAUUAAAGUAGUUGUCAAUAUUAACUAAUUUCUAGUUCAAUUUAAUCUAAUUAAUUUGAUAGCAAUAAAAUUAUUAUUAAUAUUAUAUAUUUAUUUACCAUAAGUCUGUCCUAAUUUUGUAGCUUGAUUAUAUUUAAUUAAUCUACAAUUGUAUAAAGGGCUCAAAUAUGAAAAUAAUUGAUAUUAAUUACCUUCAUAAUUUUGGAAAUUCAAUCCCAUGAAUAUCUCAUUUUUUUAUAGAUUGAUUACAUUAAAUUGAUAUCAAUUACCUUUUCAAUUUUGGAAAGAAUUUUAAAAAGGUAACAAUUAUUUAUUUUCCUAAUUACUAAUUUAUUUUUCAAAUAUUUCUUAUAAAUUUAUAAUUUAAUUAUAGUCAAUUAAUUAUUAUUAUCUUUAUAAUUUGCUAAAAACUCAAAUAAGGUAACAAUUAUUUUUUUCCUAAUUACGGAUUUUCUUAUAUUCAUUCAUUUAUUUGUUUACAAAAAUAGGUCAAACUUAAUUAUUUUGAGGGAUGACACCUUUUUUUAAUAUUUUUUAUUCAAAAUGAUUGCAAUAUUUUCUAUAUAAAUUGAUCCGUUACUAUUUAUUAAUUGGUUAUUCUCUUAAAUAAUUUUUUCUUGUAAUAUUUCUUUUAAUCAAUUGUAAUGAAAUAAUUCAUAUUUAUUUUCUUAUAAUACUAUCAUUAAAAACAUAUGAAAUGUAAUUUAUUAAAUUCUUAGUUUUAGGCUAGACUAUCCUCCUUUAUUAUAUAGAUAGAUAAUUUCAACAAAAUUAAUUAGAGUAUUUUCUUAUAAAAAUAAUAUAAAAUUUUAUUUUAUAAAAAUAAUAUAAAAUAUGGUAUAUUAAUAAUAUUUGCAUUAAUUAUGUUUCUAUUUUCUUACAUAUUAUUUGAUUCUACGCAUUAAAAAUAACAUUGAAUCAAUGGUGAAAGUGGAGGGACUUCUUUCUUUAUUGGGGUUUUUCUUUUUGGGAAAGCUGACACUUUCUUGACUACCAACCACCCAACACAAAGCUGACACUUCUUGGUAGAUUGGCUAUUUUUUCAUACGGUACUAAUUUAUAUGCAUUUUCUUUGAUAUUUGUUAUAUUGUUAGUUUUAUUUUGCGUAUCGUAUUAGUUUAUAUGCAUUUAUUUUUUAUGUUUGGUAUGUUAUUAUGAUCCUAAGCUAGGAGUCUAUCGGAAACAUCCUCUCUACUUCACCUGAGUACUGAUAUGAUCUACAUAUACUAACCUCCCCAGACCCCACUAUCUGGAAAUACACUGAUUUUUGUUAUUGCUGUUGUUGUUUCUUAUACAGUAUUUGAUUCAAAGUAUUAAAAAUAACACGAAUUACAUAAUUUUUUUUUACAUAAUACCCCAACUUUAAGCAUGUUAAUGCAUGCAUUAGAUCCAUUGUAUUACUAAUGUCAUAAAUUUUGAAGUAUUAGUAAUACACGCCUCAAUACACAAUAGAGUAUAUUACUAAUUUUUGCAUUAGUUAUACAUAAGAUAAAAAGAUAUAUAUCAAACAAGGGACUACUAAUACACAUUAAAUUAAUGGAUGCAUUAAUUUUUACGUAAUACAUUCCAUGCUUUAUCACAGAUUUGAUUCCUUGUCUUAAGCUGGGAGUCUAUCGGAAAUAGCCUUUCUACUUCUUCGGAGGUAGUGAUAUGAACUACGUACAUCUUACCCUCUUUAGACCCCACUAUGUGGAAAUACACUGAAUUUAUUGUUGUUGUUGUUAUUAAUUUUUGAAUACACUCUAUCAAAAGACUCUAUGCUUCUCAUUUAAUUAUACCUUUAGCUCCUUUUUAAUUAUGAUAAUUGCUCUCUGACUCCACCUUGCUUUUUAAAAAUAUAAAUAAAUAGCAAUGAAUUUAAUUUUGCUCAUUACUCUACUAAUUGUAGUAAUGUUAGGUGAAUUCAUCAACUUAAAAUUAGAGUACAUUCACUCAAGCUACAUGUUAUAGAUAUAGUUCAAAAAAGGAAUUAUACGUUUGACAUAAUACAUAAAUGUGUUUUCAACUUGACAUCAUUAGCAAAUAUUUAUAUAUUUUAAUUUUGAAUGUUGCACAAAUAAAUACUUCGACUAUCAUAUAAAGUUAAAAUAAAUAUAUAUAUAUGUGAGUCUUGUAUCGCAAUUUGUCAUGCAAAAUGUGUGCAUCUCAUACAAUUUGUCAAGUAAUUAAAGCGUUUGUGUCUAGGGGAGUGCAUCGGUCGGUUCGGUUGGGUUUUACAUAUUAUCAUUAGAUUUAUCGAUUUUCGGUUUUUAAAUAUGCUAAACCAAUAACCAAACCAAUAAAAUAUUUUUUUUUGGUUCUUAGUCCUUAACGAUUUGGUUUUGGGUUUAACCGAUAAGAAAAUACUCAUAAAAUAGAAAUAGUAGUAACUAACAUGUAAAAAAUGAAUCUUAGUUGCAACAAAAAUCCUACAUGAAGUGUUUGAAUUUACAAAAAUCUUCAAGUUUGAACUAAAUGUUGUUAGGAGAAAUUCAGAGUUUAUAUAAUUGAAAUAACAGGUUUGUUAAUUUGUAGAAAUAAAAUAUAAAUAUAUAAUAAUUCAUAUUAUAUAUGUAUAUGCAUAUGUUUUGAAAAGGUGUUAAUUUGAGAGCAUGAAUUAUAUGGAAUCCCUCUCUUGAUGUGAAUUUGUUUUAAAUGUUCAUAUGAUGUAAAUUGUUUGAAAACAUCUUGAAAAGCAUGACAUGAAAUGUUUUGAGAAUUUAUAUGAUUUUGACUUGAAAACUAGAGGGCUAUUUGUGUUGAAACAUGUUGAAUACAAUGGUUGAAUGAGAAGAAUGAUGUGAUAUUGAUGGCUUGGAAGUCGGUUAUGAUGAUACCCUACAGAAUAUGAUUUGUGAUUAAAUCGGAUGAAAUUUGAAUGCAUUGAUUUUACAUGAGAUAGGUGGAUAUCCGAAGAAGGCAUUUGAGUAUAAGGGCUCAUCGCUAGAAAUCGUGUUUGCCGACAUGGGAAUUUGGUACCCUGCUUUGUGAUCUUGCGUACCUGACUUUAUGUCAUUCCCAAUUUGGGACUAUGGUUAGGAGCCCUGCUUUGUGAUCUUGUGCACUACCAUUGGGUCGAGAUAUCCUGUUGUGUGAUCUUGUGUGUCUUCCCCUCACUUAUACUCUAAUCUUGGCGGCAACCGAGGUUUGACAGUUGGUGUAAAUAUGAUAUGUAGGGUAUUCCACCUAGCUCAGCAGGAUUAUAUUGUUGUUGAAAACAAUUAUAUUAUGCCCAUGUGUUUUCAAAUGAUUUGAUAUGAAACUGCUUUAUAAUGGCUCUCAACUAUAUUUUGUAAAACUAUUAUGUUUUGUUUUGAUAUCUCUGCGUACCAGUACUUCUGAAUUGAACCCCUUUCCUCCCGGGUACAAAGGCACAGUCUAGGGGUCCAGAAAAUCAGUAGAUUCCUCAAACAGAUUUACAGAGUCACUUGGUGAGCCUUCUAUUUUUUGGAAGGCCUGAUAUUUGGAUCUACUGGAGGCCUUGUCCCAGUUUUCAAAUAGAUAUUUAUUUCAGUCAUGUAGUAGAGAUUUCACAAACGUUAUAGAGAUGUUGUGUUGAGAUUGUGGGACAUUAUUCCCCGUUAUUGAUUCAUAUGAUUCUUGACCAUGUUUCCAUAAUAUUGUUUGUCUUCCAUAUUUCUUUUAUCAUAUGAGUUAUGUGCAUGAUUAUCAGACAAAUAGGGGUGUUUCGGGCCUUUAUGGUUCGGAAUGCUCGUCACGGACAGGGCCCCAAUUUGGGUCGUGACAAACUUGGUAUCAGAGCAAGGUUCAUGGUCCCAGGGUGUCUACAAAAUCAUAUCGGGUAGAGUCUUAUUUAUGGGUGUGUAGCGUGCCACACUUAUAAGUAGGAGGCUCCUAAGCAUUUAGGAAUGUCUCUCUUUCUUCAUGUUCCAGUUCGUGCAAUAGAGUCAAAAUGUUCCUCUUUCAUACUGUCAUUCAUGCUAUGGUGUCGCUCAUAUGAAGGUAAAGUCAUACCAAAUUCUUUCCUUACUCUGAUGUUCUCAGACAUGUCCCAUUAUUGGGGUGAUUCAAGUGCAAAAAGUUUAGAAUCUACAUGAUAUAGUCUUUUUCGAUUGUGUCAUAUAAGAAAAAAAAUUGUGCAAAGACUCGAGAGGAGUCUGUUGGUGCUUCAAUAUGUGUUGAUUCUGAUAUAAACAUUGAUCCUGAUGGAAUCGUGCUUUCUAGCUUAUGGUAUUAAGUGCAUCUAGUCCCUCCCAAAAUUCUUGAUACAGAUGUGGACGGUGUAUAGCAGAAUGUUGGAACUAUAUUUCCACCCAAAUAGUAGCAUAAGUUAAAGUGUUGUUGUCAUGACCUAUUGGUAAUGAAAUUAGACCAAGAAUUUAGUGAUGUGAAGUCACAAAGUUAGAAGUCAGAGUGAGGGUGAUUUUUGGUGUAAAUGAAUAUUUCAGUUGAAUAACCAAUAUUUGAGGAUGAUUUACCCCUUUAUAGUGAUAAACUAACGUGGUAGCUAGUAGCACGUGUGGAUGGUAUGGUAGUCCAUGGGGAAGUAUUUUACUCAAAUUUUAAUUUAUAAAGAGUAAGAUGUGUAUUCUUAGACCAUUAAAUAUUGUGUCAAUUUCCUAUCUCUUGUAAUAUGUAAUCUUGUUAUCAUGGUAUUUUUGAAAUAAAUUUUAAAGUCUAGUGAAGCCGUGUGGGGCUCUUUCGAUUCACUAGCAUAGUUGCCUUGUCAUCCAUCUCAUUUUCUUGUUCAAAAUACCAAACCAAAGUCUAGUGAAGCCGUGUGAGGCCUAUUUCAAUUCACUAGCAACUUGUUGUCCAACUUGUUGUUCUUUUGUUGGUUUAAUAUAUGUAUGGCUGAAUCUGUUUGCAUGAGAUGGAGUUGGUAAAGAGGUGAUUCAUCCUUGUGAGUUAGUUUAGUAUAAGGUAGAGAAGGAGUUGUUAGUCAGGGUGAUUUGUUGGUUUCUUGAAUGUGAAAAAUGGCUAUAUUAGCGAGUAAGUUAUGAUCAUAGACUCAUGGUUGUUUGAGGAAUUUGAAGGCAGUCUAAAUGUAUGCUUGAGAAAGUAAGUAUGAGGUCAGAAAUCCGCAUAAGUAGAUAAGAUCUUAUGGGGUUAUAAUAUCAGUUAAGGUUGAUCAUGUCUAUUAUGUGACCUUACUCCUUGACUUUUUUCGUUGGUAGUUGUAAACUAGUACUACUUAUGAGAAGGUAUGUAGCAAAUUAUGAGGUAUUUGGAUAGUACUAUAUGACUGGCAGAGACUUUUCAAAGAUUUGCAGGAGUUCUCGAAACUAUUUUCUAAAAAAUUAAGAGUACUUUGAAAAAAAUCUAUAUAAAUCUUUUACUUAGUGAUUGCCUAGACAUCAAUUAGGAUGGGGAGUCAGGGGUGGAAGUCCCAACAUGAUGAAAUACCUAAAAGAUGGCAAGGGCAAAUCAAGGAUCGUAGGAGGUCAACACGGAGUAGUUUCUUUCAAACUAAUCAUUUUUUGUGGCUGCAGGGAUUGAUACACAAAAUGAGCGUUUCUUUCGAAAAAUCCCCAAGCAAGUCGGGAGCCAUGACAGAGCAUAUAAGGCUUAGUAACGGUACCUUUGGUAGCCCAAAAACCGGCUCAACACCCAUUUAUUGACGACCUUUCGAAUUGUCCAUCUCAUUUCUUGAGACCAUGGAGGACAAACAAAGUGUCUUGUCUUUUUUACAAAUAUUGUAUUUAGAAUUUUUCUAAAAAAAAAAAUAGUCGCUAGCAAAAGCGACUUUGUGUCUACUAAUCGUCUACCUUGAGUACGGGUACAUGCAGAAAGCAAGACCCUGACAAAUGAUUUCAGGAGAAACUAUUUUUAAUUUAUCGGAAGAACCAUUGCAUGUCAUUGCCAAGAGGGCCAUUACAUAUCAUCGUCAUUCAAUAUCUGUUGGCGUGCUAGACACAAUGCUAGCAUCGAGGAUAUCAUUAGCAUUCAAUAUAUCCAUUGACAUGCAAGACACAACACUGGCGUCGAGGAUAUCAUCAUCAUAUAAUAUCUAUUAACGCGCUAGACACAACGCAGGCAUUGAGGAUAUCAUCAACAUUCAAUAUAUCUGUUGACACGCAAGACACAAUGCUAGCGUCGAGAAUAUUAUCAUCAUUCAAUAUCUAUUGACGAUCUAGAUACAACGCUGGCGUCGAGGAUAUUAUCAGCAUUCAAUAUAUCUGUUGACACGCAAGACACAAUGCUGGCGUCGAAGAUAUCAUCAUCAUUCAAUAUAUGUUGACGCGCUAGACACAACGCUAGCGUCGAGGAUAUCAUCAUUAAUAUAUAACUAUUGACACGUAAGACACAACACUGGCAUUGAGGAUACCAUCAUGAUGCAAUAGCUGUUGACAUGCAAGACAUAACUCUGGCGUCGAGGCUAUCAUCAUCAUGCAAUAUUUGUUGACGCGGAAGACACAAUGCUAGUGUCGAGGAUAUCAUCAGCAUUCAAUAUAUCUGUUGACACGUAAGACACAACACUGGCAUCGAGGAUAUCAUCAUCAUUCAAUAUAUCUGUUGAUACGUAAGACACAACGUUGGCGUCGAGGAUAUCAUCAUCAUUUUAUUUCUGUUGACAUGCAAGACAUAAACACUAGCGUCGAGGAUAUCUUAUCAUUUUAUGAAUCAGCAUCCGAAUGCAUCAAGAGCACAUGAUUUGAAGGGACGCCUUUAAGUCGCUAUCUAAGGAUGAAUGAUAUAUAAGAUUUCCUAGAAAUUUACAAUUUGAGGGUCAUCUAUAAGUUAUAUUAUUUGAAAUAUGAUAGUGUACAAGAUCACCUAUGAGUUGAUAGCCGGUAGGUCAUCCGUAAGCCACAACAAAAUUCUAACCGGAUAGUGUGCAAGAUCGCCCAAAAAUUGAUAGUUCAAAGGUUAUCCAUAAGUCGCAACUAAAUCCUUACCAGAGAAUAUGCAAGAUUAUCAAAUGGAUACAUCCAAGGGUUCUCUAUAAGCCGUGUCAUAUCCAAGUUCGAUUAUAUGCAGGAUUACCCAAAGACUAACAAUUUGAGGGAUUAUCUAUAAGUCAUAUUAUAUCCUAGGUCGGAUGAUGUGCAGGAACACCUGAAAUCUAGCGAUUGGAGGGAUAUAUGUAAGCCAUCUCUUAUUUAAAGUCGGACAAUGUGCAGGAUUACCUAAAAGCUAGAAAUCAAAAGGAUAUCUGUAAGUCGCCUCGUAUCCAACAUCAAAUAAUGUGUAAGAUUAUCUAAAGAUUGAUAAUUUAAAGGAAAUUUAUAAAUCGAUCAUCGGCUAUAACUGGAGAGGUUAUCAUUCCACAUGCAACAAAUGAUAUAGGUACCCAAAGGGUUGCCACACCAGCACGCCAUUGUCCAAAAGGGCCACCCACUUUGAAGACAUAUUCAACCGACAAAUGUCAUAAUUAUACAACAACCAAGAGGGUUGUUGUGUUUGGUAUUGUCGGUUAUUUCAUUCCAAACAGGUACAUGAAGAGAUGACUCCACUUUUCAGGCCACAACUCACGUGGAGAUAUGGUAAAAGACUGCAUGCCUCUUUCGUGAAUUAUGUUUAGCACUAAAAAUUUUUGCUUGAAGCAUUGUCGAGGGCAUCCGUGAGGAUGAAAAUCUUAAAUCAAAACCACAGGUACGGAUGACUUCAAAUAGGAUGCAAUACCCGAAUCCAACCCGUUUUCUUUUUCCUCGUUAUGAUCACGCACGUUCCACAUGAAUCCAUACGAGAAGAUGCUAAGAAUAUUCUAGAAACACACUUAGGUGUCUCAUCCAACGUUCAAAUCUCAAAAUUCUCGCAUAGAGGUUUACGAAUUCGUACAUAGGUGGAGUAUUUUCAUUGGCUUGUGAAGAUUAUUCCCUUUCCACCAAUUUCUAUUGGCCACUUUUUGGAAUUCCGUUCAAGAAAAUCAAAAUAGAGGUAUAGUUUGUUAGGGUCCAGAUCUUUUUAAUUUAAAAAAUGAACCCUCAAUCCCCUUCUAUAAGUAGCUCUCUUUAGAGCAAGAAAAAGGGAUUUUUUAGGGGAUUUUGGAAUUUUUUUUCACUGGCAACUCCUUUCCUUUGUGGGUUUUCCUCUUCUUUCUCUUUGGAGUUUGAAAUUUUAGAAGCAAAAGGGGUUCAAAAGUUUUUAUUUGAAAAUUUGGGGUUAGAGAAAAUAUUCAAAAAUUCAGAAAUACACAAAAAAAAGAGGGUUAGAAAGGGGGGCUCUCAGAGGGAAAAAAUAUUCUCUUUACGCCCAAGAAACAUACAUUUUUAGGAGGUGCGUCUGAACUGUCGAAGCAGUUGUGAGUUUUUCGGUGGUUGGAAUCCUAUCGUCAGCUCGUUAUACCAUUUUGCUGCCCCGAAAGAGGUAAAUACACCUUUCUUUUUAAUUUUGUUGUGGUUAUCAUUUUCUUCUUCGUGGUUCCACUUCUGUUUGCUGGGAAUGACUGCUGUAGAGGCCUGAAAGGCAUAGGAUUUUCAUUUUUGAUAUAUUGUUCUACUAAAAAACUCAUUCUUGAUCAUGUUUGAUUGGUUGUCGUUCAUUCUUAAUCUCUCUCAUUUUAUUCUGUCUGAAUGUUACUAGUUAGCUUUAAUGCUUCAACUUUAGAAACUAUUUUACUGGUCUCAUAUUUGUUGUUGCUUUGUAGUUCAUAGAGUAGGAGAGUAACAUAUUUACGUAUUUUCGAAAUUCGAAAAAAUGUUCAAAGAAUAGAUAUUAGGCAGCCUGUUUGCAUAUCUUUUUCGCUCAGACGUAGGAAAUUGUUAUAAAUAAGAACUCCAAUGUUAUUUUCUACCGACUUGCCACUCUCGAUGUACGAUAGUCUCAUUUGAUUCUAAAGUUUAUUUUAAAAUAUGAGAGUGGACCAUAGGUCUGAAUUAUGUUUUCUUCAUGGCUAAUUCAAUUUGCUGUAAUUGACUCAUGAGAACAAAUUAAAGUUUGACGGGCUAAUGUUUCUUUCCUUUCUUGCUUUUCUUGUUCGGAUAUAAGCUGUGGCAUCUUGUCUUAUGAUUAAAUUACCUAAAAUUAGGUUUAUGUAGUGUUAGAAUCUCAUUUGUUUGUUAACCCAGUGGUAACGAAGGUAUUAAGAUUUCAGCCUUGCUUUUCUUGAAGUUUCAGCUAUCGUAUUCCUUGCCUAAAGUGAUUAAGUCUUUAAUUUUGUAUGUUUGGCAUUCUGGAAUUUGAAAGUUGCUUGUGAUCUAUCGUUUAUGUAGUAUGAUCUAGGAUUUGUAACUCUUUUUUGUGACAUGCUUAAUUGGGUCCUUUUGUGGCAUUAAAGUGAUAAAUUAUUUUCUUUAUUUUGCUAAAGACCAUAAGAAUUUCUUGUUGAAGCUUUAUUUCCUCCUGUAGUUGAAAUUUCUUUAAUUGAUUAUUAACAUUUUCUUCAAACAUAAUAGACUUUUUAUCCUAUGGCAUUUUUACCUGUGUAUGAGUGUAUUUGAAUGAAGAAGGAAUGCUAUAGCUUAUUAUAUGUUAAAAUCUUGGACGUAUGUUAAUUUCUUCAUUCCUUUCUUUACAUGUUCAUUCCUUUCUUUACAUGCACCCCCUUUGGAGUUCAAAUGGACCCCUUCUCUCUUUGCAUUUCAUAAAUGGGCCAAUGAGGCCUAUCCUUCUGAGUUAAACCCAAAAGAAAAUCCAAGAAUCCAUCACAUGGCGUAUGGAUACAAGGAAUCGAAAUAAGAAUGGGUUAAAGUUCAAUCUUUGAAGCGGCAAAGGGGACUUGAAAAUCUCGUUAUUUCUUAUUUAUUGAUUUAUUUAUCCAUUGUUUUCAUUAUUUAUUUAUUUAUUUACUUAUUUAUAUUUUUUUUUAUUUAGUGACUUAUUUAUUUAUUCAUUCGGGCCUCGAAGCCAAAGUUGUAAAUUUAAAACAGGUGGAGCGAGACUCGAGCUGAAAAGGGCUCAAAAACAUAAAAUUAAGACAGGUGAAAGAUGGGUCAAAAACCUAACUAGAUUAGGACAGGAUCGACUGUUUGGGCUUGAAAGCCUAAAUCACUACUUCCCCCCUUUCCCUUUUUUCUAUUUGCUUACUUGUUUUACGUGUGUUUUGCGAACCUAGUAAAAUCCUUAGUCAAGUCGCUAAAAAAAUUGGUUUUGCAUAAACACCAAAAUAUUCCUAAAAUUGCUUUUCUUUUCAAAAAAUACACUUUUUCAAAGUUAAUCAAAAGAUGAUUUUCAAACAGUCCGGAUAACCGCAAGUUAGCGGACAUUUUAGGUGCCUAAUACCUUCCUAAAACGUUAAUAGGAACCGCUUAUCUUGAAUCUCUAACUUAAAACGAUUUUUUUGUUUUGAAUCGUUUGCAGUAACUCUCUAAAGGUUUCUUAUUUCCUUUUCAAAAUUAAGUGGCGACUCUCAAAAAGUCAAAAUUUCCACAAAAAAAUAUCAACCACAAUCACAUCCACACAUCUACUACCCCCACCCGAAAGUAGUAGAAGAAUAAGGGUUUGUAGUAAUUCAAGUACCUUAUCCUCUUGACGCUUGCACUUCUUCUCUUUUAGUUCAUUAACAAAUUUGUUAAAUAUUUCAAGCAGCAAGCCCUCACCACCCAUUAUUCUGUAAAAUAAUAACAGCAAAGAAAUUCACAUUCAAUGUUACGGCAUAAUGAGAAUCAUGAGAUUAUGAAUAAAAAAGUAAAAAUCCAGAGCAUUUCAUUUUAUAGACAAAGAGGCUAGACAAAUUGAAACUAGAGAUUUAGCAGCAUACUUCAUCAGAACCGUGAAACAAUCACAAAUGCCAGCAAUUAAAAAACUAAAACAAUCACAAAUGUCAGAAAUUUAAAAAACUAACUGCUAGAGCUAUUAAACGCCCAGUGUUGGAACAACUAAUAAUUGACAUCAACCAAUUUCUAGAGGGAUAAGUUCAACAUUAAAAAUCACUUAGCAAAAUGGUAAUUCAUGCUAAUACUAUAAAGAAAUAGCCUACCUAAAUGUUGAGGAAUAUAAAACAACAAAUCAUUCAACACAGCUAUUAUUCUAAGGUACAUUCUAGAACUAUGUGAAUUGCUGAGUUUAGAAUAUUGAAGGAGUUGGUCCUUGAAAAUAAUAUCAAUUAUCAUUCUCCAAUAGUCCUUGCAAUCGUGUUACGAAUUCUAGAUCAAUAAAAGCAAAAGAAGCUACUUGCCUAUCUCUGAAGAGGGAUUUCCAGUCCUCCCAUUUCGACGAUGCAGUAAUUUCCUGCAACCAUAGCAAACAAAUAGAUUAUGGUUUAAAGGAAAUAUCAUGGGAUCCCAUCCAUUGCAAUGUGAGAGAUUGUGAACUGUUUUCUAUAUCUUUGAUGCAUGAAGGAGUUCAUAGAACUCAUCUGCUAGACGUUUACGCUUUUUAGCUUCUUUUUCUUCUUUCUCCCUGGCCCUUUCCAGUAACUCCUCAAAGACAAACUAUGCAGAUGAAAUAUGCACAUUCAAUACUCAAUGACUCGACAAGCCCAAACGCGUAGAACAUAAAGUUUAUAAAGGAAGUAUGGAAUAAGAUUCAGUAUAAUCCAUGUAUGUCCUCUUAUUCCUUCGUUUGAAAGGCAAGGGUGAUAUAAUGUAAGACUAUUAUUACCAUCUUUUGGAGUAACUCCUCGCAUUAUAAUAUUUGAUAAAAUGCUUUAAAAUAGUUUUGAGCUAUUGAAAGUAAACUAAAAGCCUUAAGAGACCCAACCGUCUAAGCAUAAUUCUUCGACAAGAUACCCCUUGCAAUUCCCUCUUCCCACAUACAUAGAUUAUACGCCAUGACCAUAAAUAAACUCCAAAAUUGAAAUGAUAUAUGAAGAAUAUCCUCAUUACAAAAAAAGAAAAUGAUCGUUGAUAUCAUCCAUUUAUGCUGUUUAACCACUUUCGCAGAGUAAAACUCUUAUCCACUAACCGUAAAAAUAGAAAACUACAACGCAAAUUGCUUUGAAUUAAGCAACUUAAGAUAUGUGCGGUAGGUGUAAUAUUAAACACCGCCAUCCAGGAAAUAAAAAGUAAGGAAAAUGGUACCAAAACUAAAGAAUUGGAAGAAAAAGAUAACACCAAAUAUUUGAUCAAUGUGGUCCUCGUCUUUAUUCUUGAAGGUUUCAGGCUUACUUGCUAACCGACACACUACUCUUCUAUUAACUCCAUUACUAGAAGAUCCAGAUUUAAUGUGGGAUAGGUUAUGGUUGAUACUAAAGGAAAAUUCCACUAACCACAGUUGACUACCUACGAUUUGCCAAUUUAGCAAUCACAAACUGACCGACUUCCAGUGAAACAUAACAUGGAAGUACUACUAAUGCUUUUGCACUCAAUCCACUCAUCUUAUGCAGGACCUGUCCCAAAGACAAAAAGGGGACAAAUACAUAAAAAUCCAUUUAACGAAUGGGGUACUUCAAUUUUCACAACAUUCAAUUCAACAUAGGUCGAUGUGAAACAGUAUACAGUGCUUAUCCAUAAUUAGACCUUUAAGUUGGUAUCUGACAUUGGUGGAGAGCUAAUAUACUUGGCGAUUGCAACCUUAAAAUCAUCAAGCAUCCAGGCUAAUGUCAAUCCAAUCUGAAAGUAGACAUGGCUCAGCCAAAAUAUUAGGUACUAACCAAAGCACAACAGAGGUUAAAAUGAAGAGUGGUGAUUACCUCGGCCAUCCUAACUGCAUCUUUAAUUUGUGACUUGUCAUCAAGAUACUGAAGCAACAUACAAGUAACACAAAUUCAGAAUGCUUAUCAGUAACAAAAAUAGGAUACCAAAUGGAGCUUUGUCCAUGCAUUUGAGUUACCAUAAAGUCUAUAAAUUACAAGCAGGGUGAUGGGGAUGAAAUUUCUUUCAUGAAUACCAACAUUUCUCCACUUGUUCAAAGUCAUCUACAAUNNNNNNNNNNNNNNNNNNNNNNNNNNNNNNNNNNNNNNNNNNNNNNNNNNNNNNNNNNNNNNNNNNNNNNNNNAAAAAUGGAUAGCAUCUCUGUUAACAGCGCUUUCAUUAUAUUUACUUAAUAAGAAUCAUUUAUGCACACAAACAGUAAUACAAACUUUAAAGAUAGAAGUUGACAUCAUUAUCUGACAAGGGAAAAAGAAAAAAUAUUCAGCAUCUGAGUUUAUGUAUAACUCUCAACAUCCCAUAGCAAGAGCCUAACUCAAGAAAACAUUUCCAAAUCCAAUCAUUGAAUAAGAGUACGAACAGGAUCAUUAUCAUGCUAGGAUACCAGGUAAACUCCCUCUUUCAUCAAGCAAGGAGAUAAAUGCUAAUAAAAUUUGAUCAUUCAACUUCAAUUCUUUUCAGAAAGGGCAGAGGAUGAAACAAUAUAUCGUUUAGUUAGUCGCAAUGGUGUAUUACGGCCAAAAAAAUCAUAGUGAGGGAGAUGCAACUUUAUUUAGAGAAACAGAGAUGCUCUCAGGCACUUUUUCCGAGGCUAAUCUUUUCUAAGCCUUUACUUUCAUUACAUCUCAACUACCUCUUCAGAGGCGAAUUCUGGCACUAAGUUUUUUUAGUCUAAGCUAUAUGGUUGACAACACAAUAUAUUUUGAAUUGGGUUUUAAGUUGCAUGAUAUCAUCCGAAGUGAAAUCAAAACUGGGGUGUGGUACAAAUGGACAAAACAUGGCCAAAACUUGACCAGACAAACUACUUUCAGGUCUCAUUUGUUUGCACUUAUUGGAUUUAUGAACCUGUUCAGACCUCAAACCAUUAAGUGCAUUUGUUUUUAUUAGGAUUUUAGCUCUUAAUAGGUCUGAGUAGGUCUUAAUCAUUCAUAUGUGGAACCAAGUCUAAAUAUCAUUUACAGAUAUUCUUGUGUAGGAUAAAAUUCACCACCACUUUAUCCACAAUCACCUGGCACCACCACCAACCACUUCCACCAUCACAACCAACAUCACUACCAACUACACUACCAGCCGCUACCACACCUACCACUUCCAUUAUUCUAAUUAUAUCCACCUCCAACUAGGGGUGUUCAAGGUUUGGUUUUUAACACAACUUAACCGCGAUACAAACAAAACCGAUUAAAAAAAACUAUAUUUGGUUAGGUUUGGUUUGGAUUUGAAUUUUAAAAGACCGAUACUAAUUUGAUUUGGUUUGGUUUGGUCUUACUCUAAAAUAACCAACAAAAUAACCAAAACGAACCAAUAUACAUAUAUAUUAUAAUUAUUUAUAUGUUUUUCAUAAAUGUAAUCUAAAUAUUUGUUACAUUUUAUAUUUUAAUCAUGAUUUAACUUUAGUCGUAACACAUUCAGUCAUGUGUCUUCAUCUAGUUGACAAUACAUUAUGAGAUUCUAAAUGAAUUUCAUAUUUUGAAUGACAAAUGAUACUAAUUGUGAAAGUAAUAUCUUGUUAUAUAUUGAAAUUUACAGCUGAAAUUUAUUAGACUAUACACAAUCACUAAUUUUAACUUUCUUUUGAACCUUGUUGAGCAAGAAGUUUAUGUGUUCACCUUUUGGGGGUUUAUCAUAUCAUUCUAUUAAAUAUAGUUUUAAAAUAUUUUUUAAAAGCGUUCAUAUGGUGUUAUCAUGGCUUUGCCGAAGUAUAACACUCAGUUGACAUCAUAGUUUCAAGAUUGAGAUACAACACUUGGUUGACAUCUCAUAUGUUAGAUUUGAUUUGUUUUUUAAAAAUUUCAACAUAUAUCAUUAACUAAAGUUAUAAACUAAAAAACCCGAAUCAAACCAAACUAAACCGACAAGAACCAAACCGAUGGUUAUUUUUUUGUUUGGUUUGGUUUGGUUUUAGAAAUUUAAAAACCAAUUAAUUUGGUUUGGUUAUGGUUUUGACCACUAACCGACCCAUAUUGACCCAUGAACACCCCUACCGCCAACGUCGCCACCAUCAACUGCUACCAGUUGAUCCCUGCUACCGACCAACUCAUCUAUCAGAACUACCACUACCACUAAUAACCACCUACACAUCAUCAACUUCCACACAUCACUAACAACCACUAACACAUCAUCAACUUCCACACAUUCUUCGGACACCAUCACCACCACUGUCACCGGCGUCACCACCUCUACCACCAGCAUCCGCUACACUCGCUACAGUAUCUGUACUAACAACCAUUCAACCAUCACAGCUAACAGUGUCUCCAACAACCACCAACACAUCGUCAACCAUCAUGCAUACAGUUUUUCAUCACCACGAUCAACACCUUCAACUACUAACAUUAACCAACUUCACAUCACAACCACCACCACCACUACCAAUCGCCAAUAUUAUGACAGUAACUACAAUUCCAACUAUCUCUACUAUCACAACUAUUAUCACCAACAUUGCUAAUCACUAACAUCAAUUAAUUUAUUACAACCACCACCACCAUUACAAACCAUCUCCACUAUCACUAAUAAACAUAAAUGUUUCCUUUUUUAAUCAAAUAAUAAUUUUAUUGCAUUAAAUUAAAAAAAUUUCUAAUAAAUAAUUAAAUUAUAUUUAGAAAUAAAUAAAUUUUGCAUAUUCAGAUAUUGAGAAACACCCAACCUUAAUCAUUUAGUUUUCAGAUCUAGAGACAAUAUCUUAACCAUUCAGAUGUGCAUUCAAAAUGAUUCAAAUGUCUAAAUAUUAAUAAAAACAAAUGCAGUCUUAGCUGAAACACAAUAGUGUGGUUGUGUGAUACUUUAAAGGAAUCCUCGAAAGUCAAAGAAACUACAUGAAAACAUGGAAGUUUGAUGAUCACUUCUCAGAGUUGUUCUGCUCGAGAAACUAUAACAAUUAAGGUAACAUAACCAUUAACAGCAUUCAACGGAGGAGAAGUCAAUUACAUAUGUCUGUGAAGUAGUAUUUAAUAUAGCUUGGCUAGAUUGAAAGAAUCAUCUAUAUCUAUACUACAUUAAAAGCAUGGAACCCCUAACUUAAAAGUUUACGACAAUAUGAUUCCUAUCAGCAUAAAUACGUACUAUCUAGUAAAAAAAAAGAGGAAACUAAUUGGCAUAAAGAGAAACAACACAGAUGUUUAAUAGGAACAACCGAUCAUUGUUCUUAUCUCAACAAAAUAUGUGUUAUUUAAAAAAAAAAAAAGCAAGCAGAGGGGUAACUCUCAAAUCUCAAUCUCAUGCUUUUAUCCUACCAAGUAUGUUCUAUUCUUUAAUGCACAACAACAACAACAACAACAACAACAAACCCAGUAUAUUCCCACAUAGUAAUGCACUAACUUACUUUUUUACCCAAUGAAUUGAACUUUUUAGUGAGGAUCUAAAUGAUUUUCAGACUUUGUUUAACAUCUGAUUCAUUAAGAUAUAUUAACAGGUUGAAUCUUUUUUUAAAAAAAGCACUUAAUAGGCUGAUAUCUGAACCAUUCAGAUCCAAACCUUCAUUAAGUGAAAGCAAAUGAAAAGGGAUUGUAGUGUAAAGUCUAUAAAUAUGGGUUAGUGUAACAAAUGUAGUUGACACAAUUCAAUACUCCUAUUAGCAACCUAUUUCACCUGUUUCUCCAGCUCAUCCAUAACAUCUGUAAAUAAGUAGUACCUGGAAAAUCUCCAAGCGAUUGAUUUUCUCAAGGCAGGAGCAUCUUUCAUCAGUUUCCAAGCGGUCCUGAACUUUCCACCACUGGCUACUAGCCUGAACAAAAGAAGUCAGCAACAAUGGAACUAUGGAAGUUCUAUCUUCUUGAAAUAGAAAAACAUAAUCUAGGAACUGAUGCUAAGACCACUAGAACAAAUACCUUAAUAAAGUCAAAGGAUUUUAAAAAUUCUAAGUACUCCACUCUAUUGCGCUUCUGCUCCUCCAAUGCCUUCGCAUGCUUCUGGUAAAAUCCAGUACAAAGUAAAAAAAAUAAAAUUUCUCUUUAAAGAAAACAAUAUGGACAAAGAGACUGUAACUACACUUUCAUGAAAGUAACGAAAAACUCUUCCUGUUUUACGAUGGAGAGGGGAGAGGAAGAAGCAUAUCAUAGUUUCAAGUUUCAAGAAAAAUUACAUACAAUACAUGGAAGUCUAUUUAUAUUAGAAUUCAAUGGUGAACAAAUUUAAAUCUUGUACCCUUGAGAAGCCAUUAAAAAUGUAUUCAAAGAACACAAGAUUUUAAGUUGAAUAUCUACAACAUUCCUUCUUUCUACUCUUUAAGCAAAACAAAAAAAGGGAACAAACUAAAAGACAUCCUGCAAAGGAAAGGAAUGGAAUGACUGUUGUUAAUCAAGUGGACCAGUGCCAAACUCAACUUCAAAGUCUAGGUCAGGUGGUGAAGAAUGUCCAAGAUCAUAUAAGGAAACUACAGCACAUACACCUUACUAGUGUGGGAUUCUCAUACAUUAAUCGAACACCAAGACUAGACAUUUGUAGCAUCAGUUAACCUAGGUUGGCUAACAUCUAAUAGUCUAACAUCAAGAUAGAUCUGCCUCUAAUACCAUGUUUAAGAAAUUGGACCUUGUUUCUAUCUCAAAUGAAAGGCUAACUUAAUUUGUGAGGAGCCAAAGACCAUAUAAGGAAACUACAAUCCGCACACUUUGUUUUUAACAUAUAGAAGCUUACAAGAAAGUUCUGCAAAAGAAGCAUCAACUUUUUAUCUUAUUCCUCCACAUAAUCUUCAAAAAGGUCCCCACAGUCUUUAGCUCGCUCAACAGCUUUAAAAUGUUCAUCAUGUUCAAAUAUGGAGAUUGCCUUACUGAAUAAUCAAUAGCAAAUAGUUGGUGGAUCAAAUGGAACUUACAUAAGUAAUGGAUCAACUUCAAGGUACCAAAACACAUACAAACAAUGACCAAUAUUAGAAAACAAGCAACAGACAACUUAACAUUACAAGUGAAAGACAAACCUCCAUCUUGAUGAUGGUGACAGCUCCUUGCAAUCCUGUAAGAUUGAGAACAACGGACAUUGUUAUGAAAAAUACCACUUAUUCUUUUGAACAAGUCAAAUACCAGUCACUAACACAUCAUGAAUAUUAUGAUAAUAUCUUUUUAUUUUUGAAACUGGUAAUGUGAAUAUCAUGAUAUAUCAAAUAUAAGACACCCACAAAAGAAAAUUUCACUUACUUUUAAAAUUACCCUGAAAUCUUCCCGAGCUUUUUUCUGUUUAACACGCCUCUCUUCAGCUUCUAGUUUUCUCUUUUGGCUCAAAUACUGGAACAGACACACGACUUCAAAAUGAUCACUAUAGACCUUAGGUGUGUUUGGUAUGAAGGAAAAUGUUUUCCUAGAAAACAAGUUGGUUUCUUACUUGAUUUCUUAUGUUUAGUUGAUGAAAGGAAAAUAUUUUUUAGAAAAUUUUUUCUAGUGUUUGGUUGGUGAAUAAAAAAAUAUUUUUCAGAAAAUACAUUUGAGAGUUGUAUAAAAAUUUCAACUUAAGAGUGAGAUUGAAAGAGAGUUUUGGAAAAUGUUUUUCCUACUUUUGGAAGGGAAUUCAUUUUCCUUAAAUUUAAGAAAAAUAAGUUGAUUUGGAAAACAUUUUCCAAAAUAUUUAAGUCAACCAAACAUGAAACAAUUCAAUAUCAAACACAAUCUAUCUUUUUGCAAUAUGGUAUGCUGAAACAUUGAGGCAACAAUUAACCAUUCCAAUGCCGACUUGGAGAGAUACCUCAUUAAAAGCUUGCUUCUGCUCACAAAGGGAUUUUACAGCACCAUAUCUCCGGUCAUUAAUUACUGCUCUCAUGGCCUGACUAAUACAAUUCAUGUCAAAUGAUCUCCCUCAAUUGUUUGGUACGCACAAAACACUCAAGUAAUAAACCUGAUUCCACAUGCAAUCAGACCCAAUAUUUGCAGAUUCCAAAAGAGUUUUGAAUGUACUCUUUUCCUCCUAAAUAAAAUCAGAUACUUAAAAUAGAAAUAAGAGAAAUUUCGAGAACAUACAUUAAACGAGACAAAAAGCAAUAAUCAACUAUACCGCUUUGCUCUCAUAAACUAAUGGUCCCAGCUCGACUAUUUUCUCAUCUGAUGGAGUAGUACCUCCGAUUUCAGUUAUUACAACAUCUUUCUUGACAUUCUGCAUGUUAGGCACAACAUCAAUCACAAAGGACAAAAGCAAACCUCAUUGGAAUUUGUAGCAUAUUCUUCACCUGUUAGCAGUUGACUAACAACUACACUACAAAAUUGUUGGAUCAACAUCCAGCAUAACAGCUAUGAAAAGCUUUCUUGGUGUUUUAACCAGUAACCAGUAGUAAUUAACUAAUUGCAUAAGUAUUUCAGAAGGACAAAGUACCUCUCUAUUCUUCGAAGAAAAUCCAUCACCAUACACUACUGUAACUUGAGUUGUAGUAGUCUCAAAACUACAGAAAAAUUGAAUUCCAAAUAAGAAGCAACAUAAACCAGAGGCAAAUUUAUAACAUAUAAAUCUGAAAACAUGCACCGGUGGCGCGACAGAAUUUCCCAAGGUUACUGCUAUUCCAAUUUUCUCUGAAUUAGCAACAGCUGGCAAAGCAGGUUCUGAAGAAUUCUUCAUUUCAACUGUUCCAAUCAUCGGAGAAGAAACAUUACCAGAUAAACUUGAUGAUUCUAAAGCCACAAUAGUUGGUAAGUUAGCAGCUGGUGACACAGCAAUUGGGCUUGAUUUAGCAUCGUGUGCCGAGACUAAUAAACCAUCUGCACCCGGGGAUGAUGUUUUAACAACAGAAAUGGAUCCAAAAUCAGAAGCGUGCAAAUUCUCUCCAGGACUUGUAAAUUCUCUCCAGUAAGUUGAUGCGUCUGCCUUCUGUCCCAAUGAAAACUGAAUAAAAGUAGGUUAAGUCAAAAAAUAGAACAUAAACAGUACCCUGAGAGUAGAAAUCAAUAACUUCCAGCAGUACAAUACUGGAUGGAAGUGUUAGAAUAUGAAUGAUAUAAUGUCCCACAUAAAAAAGGACUAGCAUGUACUGUGUAGAAUAUAACUACAAGCAGGGUGGAAACAUUGCCAAGCUGCGGCUGAGCUACAACUAUCCAAGGGUGAUCAACUCAACAACAUUCGCUUGAUAAUCGUAUUUUGUAUAUAUAUAUAUAUAUAUAUAUAGGUCAAAUUCUGUCGUUUCUAAGUAUUUUUUAAUGAACACCCUCGCCACAAAAAACAAGACGGAGUGUGACAGUAAGGGUGUUCAAAUCUUGCAAUGAGGUUCUAAGUUCCAUACUCAACACAGCCCCCCCAUAAUUUUUUUUUUCAUUUGGACACGUUUGAAACUCAUAAACUACAGUUAUGCUUUUUUUGAUGAAUCAAUUUCUGAACAUGUGUUUUUUGUCCCAAUUAGCUCUUACAAAAGAGCUAGUAACUAGCAUGCCAGGUAUCAGAAUUUUGUUAAAAUAAACUUAAAGGUAAAUUUAUAAAGUGGUUGUUAUACUAGCUAUCUUGCAUGGGGCAGAGUGUUUGGCUGGUCAAGAGCUCGCAUGUUCGAAAGAUAAACGUAGAAGAAAUGAGGAUGUUGAGAUUGGUGUGUGGGCAUACUAGGAGAGAUAGAAUAAGGAACAAAGAUAUGCGAGAAAAAGUGGUAGUGCUCUCUGUGGUGGACAAUUAACAAGAAGACUAGAGGGUUGGGGAUAAAGAACCUAAAAAUUCAAAGUAAGGCUCUCGUGAUGUAAUGGUUUUGGAAAUAUGCAAACAAUAACCAGCUGCUAUGGAGGAAAGUGAUUGGGACUAAAUAUCCUGAAGAAGAUAGAUGGAUAAAUAAAGAAUUGACCACACCAUACGGGAUUAUCCUCUAGAGAUCUAUUAGACAAUAGUGGAAUGAAGUUAAAAGAAACUCAAAGGUUAAAGUGAUGGAUGGAAACAAGACUAGGUUCUGGAAGGAUAAUUGACAUGAGGAUGGGAAUAUGGAAGUUAUUUUUCCUGAUAUCUACAACUUGGUAUUGCUUCAAUAGAGGACUAUAGCAGAAUUAUGGACACCACAUGGGUGGAACUUCAAUUUCAGAAGGCAACUUAAUGAACGGGAGGUAAUGAGAGUAGUUGAAUUUUUUAAUACCAUGGACUUAUUCAAUGGACUGCAAACAGUGAAGGAUGUACUAUGGUGGAUGGGAAAUGAAAAAGGAAUGUUCAGUGUCAACAAAGCCUACAAGAUAAUGAACCAAAUAAAUCACCCAGAUCCAAGAUGGCCAUGGAAGAAAAUAUGGAAAAGUAGGAUACCUCACACAGUGUCGUGCUUUGUCUUUGUCUGGUUACUAACCAAGGAAGUAGUUCUUACACAAGAUAAUGUCAUGAAGAAAGGAAAAACCUUGUGCUCCAUAUGUUUCCUCUGUGGAGAAACUUAGUGAUGGUUAACCAUGUAUUUCUACAUUGUAAGUACACCCAACAACUUUGGAGAAUCGUCUCAAGACUAAAAGGCAUUUCCAGGACAAUGCCUAGGAAAGUAUCCAAGACUUUAAUAUGCUGGGAGAACCAGGUGUACAUGCGAAGAACAGAGGUAGAUGGAGAAUUAUCCCUGGUGCUAUAUGGUGGGCUAUAUGGAAAGAAAGGAAUUCUAGAUGUUUUGAAAGCAUAGAGAAUAGUGUGCAGAAGGUUAAACUCAAUUGCAAUUUUGCUUUUAUGUUUUUAGUGUAAUCAACUAUACUCUAAUGAUAUUACCUCGAUAAUUGAUGUUCUAGACUAAAUUUAGAGAUAGAACAGUUGAUUUUGGAGUACUCUUGUAUAUAAAGGUUUCAGUACAACCCAUGUACUGUGUGAUAUAAUACAAAGUUGCCAAGUUCAAAAAAAAAGAUAAUAAUUUUUCAAGUACUAAAAGUUUAUAAAAUAACAAAUAAAGCAAUUAAAUCUGAGUUCAAAUUAGGUGGGUUGGGUUAUGACCCGAAUUUUAGAGCAUUUCAACCCAACUCGUUUCAGCCCAAGUAGCUUUAGGGCGGGUUAAUAACCCGCCCAUUUAUUAACUCAGACCUCUUUGAUCCGCCCAAAUCCAGCCAACCCCGCCCAUUCGACACCUUUAUUUUAAAAGAAGUAAAGUGGACCAUGCCAGAACACAUACCAGAUCUAUUGAGUUGAAGUAAAGUGGACUAUCAAAGGACACACAACAAUCUGUUGAGUUGUUGGAUUAGUGGGGAUUAAAAAGAGUGAGAAGAAACGGGGGAGAACAAUCCUUCCUUGUAUUUGGUGGACUGUAUGGAGCGAGAAAAUUUGAAGGUAUUUUGAAGAUAAAUAUAAUUCCAUUCAGAAAGUUAAAUGAAAUAACAUUGUAGAUUUUUGUUUAUUGUUUAAGGGCCAAUGUGUACAGGAUGCAUAACAGGUAGUAGAUCUCUUCGAAUCCUAGCAUUAUUUUCAUUAUUUUUCAUUUCUUUUGGACUGUUAGCAUAAUCUUAACGCUGACGAAUACAAAGUAAUAUCUCUGAAAAAAAACUGUUUAUCUGAAAAAAAAAAGGAAUAAAAAUGUUCAAACUUCCUUACAGCUCCAGUUGUUGGUCCCUUAAUACUUGUCCCUCACAACCAGCCAAACUUUCUUUGAUAACCGUCAUGUUUGGGCCAGCUUGCACCUUGACUAGUUACACCAGGUACUGCUACCUCCCACCAGCACAGAUACUAGGUAACUCUGUCCAUCAAGGCUUGGACAGACGGUAAGAAAUCACCUAGUGUUUUUAUCUCUGUUGGAAAUUAAACCUGAGACCUCAUGGUUCUCAAUCUACUUCAUUGAC